CCUACGGGUGGUAGCAGUGGGGAAUAUUGCGCAAUGGGGGAAACCCUGACGCAGCAACGCCGCGUGCAGGAAGAAGGUCUUCGGAUUGUAAACUGUUGUCGCAGGGGAAGAAGACCGUGACGGUACCCUGGGAGAAAGUCACGGCUAACUACGUGCCAGCAGCCGCGGGAGUACGUAGGGGACAAGCGUGGUCCGGAUUUACUGGGUGUAAAGGGGGCGGAGGGGGGAUAGCAAGUCAGUCGUGAAAGGCCGAGGCUUACCCUCGGAGCUGCGAUUGAAACUGUUAUUCUUGAGUAUCGGAGAGGAAAGCGGAAUUCCUAGGGUAGCGGUGAAAUGCGUAGAUAUUAGGAGGAACACCAGUGGCGAAGGCGGCUUUCUGGACGACAACUGACGCUGCGGCGCGAAAGUGUGGGGAGCAAACAGGAUUAGAUACCCUAGUAGUC
rnacentral:rRNA from 1 species